GACGAACGCUGGCGGCGUGCUUAACACAUGCAAGUCGAGCGGUAAGGCCCUUUCGGGGGUACACGAGCGGCGAACGGGUGAGUAACACGUGGGUAACCUGCCCUCAGCUCUGGGAUAAGCCCGGGAAACUGGGUCUAAUACCGGGUAUGACCUCGUAUCGCAUGGUGCGGGGUGGAAAGUGUUCAGUGGCUGAGGAUGGGCCCGCGGCCUAUCAGCUUGUUGGUGGGGUAGUGGCCUACCAAGGCGACGACGGGUAG
rnacentral:rRNA from 1 species